rnacentral:rRNA from 1 species
GGUUAAGCGACUAAGCGUACACGGUGGAUGCCCUGGCAGUCAGAGGCGAUGAAGGACGUGCUAAUCUGCGAUAAGCGCCGGUAAGGUGAUAUGAACCGUUAUAACCGGCGAUUUCCGAAUGGGGAAACCCAGUGUGACUCGUCACACUAUCAUUAACUGAAUCCAUAGGUUAAUGAGGCGAACCGGGGGAACUGAAACAUCUAAGUACCCCGAGGAAAAGAAAUCAACCGAGAUUCCCCCAGUAGCGGCGAGCGAACGGGGAGGAGCCCAGAGCCUGAAUCAGCAUGUGUGUUAGUGGAAGCGUCUGGAAAGGCGCGCGAUACAGGGUGACAGCCCCGUACACAAAAAGCGCAUGUGCUGUGAGCUCGAUGAGUAGGGCGGGACACGUGGUAUCCUGUCUGAAUAUGGGGAAAUUCAUCCUCCAAGGCUAAAUACUCCUGACUGACCGAUAGUGAACCAGUACCGUGAGGGAAAGGCGAAAAGAACCCCGGCGAGGGGAGUGAAAAAGAACCUGAAACCGUGUACGUACAAGCAGUGGGAGCACAGGUUUACCUGUGUGACUGCGUACCUUUUGUAUAAUGGGUCAGCGACUUAUAUUCUGUAGCAAGGUUAACCGAAUAGGGGAGCCGGAGGGAAACCGAGUCUUAACCGGGCGUUAAGUUGCAGGGUAUAGACCCGAAACCCGGUGAUCUAGCCAUGGGCAGGUUGAAGGUUGGGUAACACUAACUGGAGGACCGAACCGACUAAUGUUGAAAAAUUAGCGGAUGACCUGUGGCUGGGGGUGAAAGGCCAAUCAAACCGGGAGAUAGCUGGUUCUCCCCGAAAGCUAUUUAGGUAGCGCCUCGUGAAUUCAUCUCCGGGGGUAGAGCACUGUUUCGGCUAGGGGGCCAUCCCGGCUUACCAACCCGAUGCAAACUGCGAAUACCGGAGAAUGUUAUCACGGGAGACACACGGCGGGUGCUAACGUCCGUCGUGAAGAGGGAAACAACCCAGACCGCCAGCUAAGGUCCCAAAGUCAUGGUUAAGUGGGAAACGAUGUGGGAAGGCCCAGACAGCCAGGAUGUUGGCUUAGAAGCAGCCAUCAUUUAAAGAAAGCGUAAUAGCUCACUGGUCGAGUCGGCCUGCGCGGAAGAUGUAACGGGGCUAAACCAUGCACCGAAGCUGCGGCAGCGAACGUAUCACUUAAAGCGAUUCAGCGGGUUACGAUUGACGGAGCGAAGCGACGUCAAAGCGUAUACAAAGUCGAGUCGGUUUAAGGAUACGUUCGUUGGGUAGGGGAGCGUUCUGUAAGCCUGUGAAGGUGUGUCGUGAGGCAUGCUGGAGGUAUCAGAAGUGCGAAUGCUGACAUAAGUAACGAUAAAGCGGGUGAAAAGCCCGCUCGCCGGAAGACCAAGGGUUCCUGUCCAACGUUAAUCGGGGCAGGGUGAGUCGACCCCUAAGGCGAGGCCGAAAGGCGUAGUCGAUGGGAAACGGGUUAAUAUUCCCGUACUUGGUGUUACUGCGAAGGGGGGACGGAGAAGGCUAUGUUGGCCGGGCGACGGUUGUCCCGGUUUAAGCGUGUAGGUGUGUGUUCCAGGUAAAUCCGGUUCACUUUAACACUGAGGCGUGAUGACGAGGCACUACGGUGCUGAAGCAACAAAUGCCCUGCUUCCAGGAAAAGCCUCUAAGCAUCAGGUAACAUCAAAUCGUACCCCAAACCGACACAGGUGGUCAGGUAGAGAAUACCAAGGCGCUUGAGAGAACUCGGGUGAAGGAACUAGGCAAAAUGGUGCCGUAACUUCGGGAGAAGGCACGCUGACAUGUAGGUGAAGUGAUUUACUCAUGGAGCUGAAGUCAGUCGAAGAUACCAGCUGGCUGCAACUGUUUAUUAAAAACACAGCACUGUGCAAACACGAAAGUGGACGUAUACGGUGUGACGCCUGCCCGGUGCCGGAAGGUUAAUUGAUGGGGUCAGCGCAAGCGAAGCUCCUGAUCGAAGCCCCGGUAAACGGCGGCCGUAACUAUAACGGUCCUAAGGUAGCGAAAUUCCUUGUCGGGUAAGUUCCGACCUGCACGAAUGGCGUAAUGAUGGCCAGGCUGUCUCCACCCGAGACUCAGUGAAAUUGAACUCGCUGUGAAGAUGCAGUGUACCCGCGGCAAGACGGAAAGACCCCGUGAACCUUUACUAUAGCUUGACACUGAACAUUGAGCCUUGAUGUGUAGGAUAGGUGGGAGGCUUUGAAGCGUGGACGCCAGUCUGCGUGGAGCCGACCUUGAAAUACCACCCUUUAAUGUUUGAUGUUCUAACGUGGACCCGUAAUCCGGGUUGCGGACAGUGUCUGGUGGGUAGUUUGACUGGGGCGGUCUCCUCCUAAAGAGUAACGGAGGAGCACGAAGGUUGGCUAAUCCUGGUCGGACAUCAGGAGGUUAGUGCAAUGGCAUAAGCCAGCUUGACUGCGAGCGUGACGGCGCGAGCAGGUGCGAAAAGCAGGUCAUAGUGAUCCGGUGGUUCUGAAUGGAAGGGCCAUCGCUCAACGGAUAAAAGGUACUCCGGGGAUAACAGGCUGAUACCGCCCAAGAGUUCAUAUCGACGGCGGUGUUUGGCACCUCGAUGUCGGCUCAUCACAUCCUGGGGCUGAAGUAGGUCCCAAGGGUAUGGCUGUUCGCCAUUUAAAGUGGUACGCGAGCUGGGUUUAGAACGUCGUGAGACAGUUCGAUUCCUAUCUGCCGUGGGCGCUGGAGAACUGAGGGGGGCUGCUCCUAGUACGAGAGGACCGGAGUGGACGCAUCACUGGUGUUCGGGUUGUCAUGCCAAUGGCACUGCCCGGUAGCUAAAUGCGGAAGAGAUAAGUGCUGAAAGCAUCUAAGCACGAAACUUGCCCCGAGAUGAGUUCUCCCUGAGACUUAGAGUCUCCUGAAGGAACGUUGAAGACGACGACGUUGAUAGGCCGGGUGUGUAAGCGCAGCGAUGCGUUGAGCUAACCGGUACUAAUGAACCGUGAGGCUUAACCUU